AUUCUAGAAAAGAAUAAUAACGGGAAAAAAAAACAAUGUUGCGAAGAAUAAAAUAAUAACUGAAUAAGCCUGGAACAAAAGAAAAGGCUGGUGAUACAUAAAGAGGUUGGGAUACUGAAACAGAAAGAGCGAGAGAAAGCUAGAGGGAGAGCGAGAGAGAGGGGUGGGGGAGAAGGGGAGGGACGUUGGGGACUGAGAUUGUUGUCUGCGUAACGCACACGGCUCAAGGAGAUGCUGUUGUAGACUUAACUAUUUCUCCCUCUUACUCGCUCUUCACCUCUCAAUUUCUCUUUUCUCCUCCUUCGGCAUCAUGGAUGUCAGACGUUUGGCCAGCUGGCCCUCAUGUUGCCGACAGCCCAGAUAUGCUUCUCCUGUGAUGAGUCCACACCAUGCUGGAUCUUCCCCCAGAUCUCCCACGCCGUAGGAUAAGCACCCAGGAGACAGAGGUGGGGGGUCAGAAUGGGGACGACUACUGUCAGUAUAGAAGAGGUUCGGGCGCAAGAGGGUAAAGAGGAGCGAGAGGAGUCCAUCUUGGCCCUGUUGGGGAUCAUUGGCACCUUCUUGAAUCUCUUCGUCAUUGUGUUUGUUUACAUCUACACUACUCUGUGAGGAGGAGGCUCCACACUGGUUGAGAGCAGGUGGAGGUGAGGGGAAGAGUCAGACGGAGAUAUGAUAGAGGGGUUGACAUCACACAGAGAGGAACGUGGAAGAUGACACUGGACCACUCAGGACAGGGGGAGUGAUGCUUGCACUUGACCACUGAGCCCUUACGGAUAUAUACGGUCCAUCUCAAUGCAAUUGACGUCUGUUUAAUGUGGACCUCUUGACACAUGGAGAGCGAUUCUUGGAUAGGCCAGAUUUGUACCCUUGCAGGAUGUGGUCAUGGGCCAAGGCACCACGUUUCCCCGGUGGUGGGUAUUACAUUGAGCACUGCCUGGCUUCAAUGACAAGGACGCAUGUGCGAAAGUGUCUAUUGGUCAAACACACGAACAUCAUAGGGCAACUGAAUGACAGCUUUCAAACUUAACCACCAAUAGAAUGAGUUUUGCAAUAAAAU